rnacentral:rRNA from 1 species
AUUGAACGCUGGCGGCAGGCCUAACACAUGCAAGUCGAACGAGUGGCGGACGGGUGAGUAAUGUCUGGGAAACUGCCCGCUGGUGGGGGAUAACUACUUUAAACGGUAGCUAAUACCGCAUACCAUCGGAUGUGCCCAGAUGGGAUUAGCUAGUAGGUGGGGUAACGGCUCACCUAGGCGACGAUCCCUAGCUGGUCUGAGAGGAUGACAAGCCACACUGGAACGGAGACACGGUCCGGACUCAGACGGGAGGCAGCGGUGGGGAAAAUGGAAUAAUGGGGGAAACGCUGAUCCAGCCAGCCCGCGUGUGCGAUGAAGGCCUGCGGGUUGGAAAGCACUUUUGGCAGGAAAGCGGUACCUGCAGAAUAAGCACCGGCUAACUACGUGCCAGCCGCCGCGGUAAUAC